CCACGGCCAGCGGUGCCAACCAAUGCCUGCGUGGACGGCGUCAGAGAGUUCUUCACAAAGUGUUGUUUUGUGCUGAGAAGUGAAGAUUACAGGUGUCAGAUGAGGAGGAGGGCCGAGCGCUGAGAAACACAGACUCUGAAAACAGUUACUGUGUCUUCUCUAAACAUCUUCAAGGUCUCCGAUCAGGAAUAAAUUCUCAUGAGGAAGAGUUUUCGGAGAGGAGACGGUCCUGGUUCUCAGUGAGGUCUCCGUGACGGAACAUUCGCCCUCAACUCGCUGUUCCUUUUUCCUAUGCAUAUACUUCUUUGAGAUGUAUCUGUAAAGAGGCAUACGGCAUGGGAAAAUGGGGCUGUCGAGGUGUUUCACGUGUGCAGCAGAAUCUCCACCGGCCGCAUGAUCUUCAACUUCAGCGCUCACAAAACUUCAUUCAAACAAACGAUACUGAAAUGUGCAGAAUAAAAGUCCAUAUGAAGAGUUUGGUUUCAAAAUGAGAGAACUUUAUUAUGUUAUCAUGUUUUUAUUGUGUUAGUUAGCUUUUUUUUAGUUAUUAUGGCUAAAUCAAAACAAACCAAAUGCAGUUUGAAUAUAGAAUAAAAUAAUGUUAUUUUUAAAAACUUUAUAAAUGUAGUUAUCUCAUUUUGGAACCAAACUCUUCAUAUGUGUUUUAACAUCUCAUUUCAUUCAAUAAAGUAGCGUGAGAAAUCCUCACGUGUAUUCUGCUUUA